GGGCUGGCCACGCGGGCAGCUGCAACCUGGGCAUGUACGUCUGUGUGGCAGGGGGGCUUCUGGACUGGGGGCUCGGCACCGACCCAGGAAGGGGAGCUGUGAGCAGGGACAUCUGGCCCUAGUCUCAGAGCAACAUCCCUCGAAAUGCCAUCUGGCCCUGGAAGGUGCAAGGGAGGCAGGAUGAGUCUGCUCAUGCUACCGCGGGCCGCCCAGCAAGGAAGCAGGCUGCCCGCCAGGCUGGCACGCGCCUCUUGCAGUGGAGGGUUUGCUCUUCAGGAACGGACAGAGAACCUCCAGACUCCCUCGGCUGCACGCUGGGGGCGAGCCCAGGCAGCCACAGGAGUCCUCCAAGCCAGAUGAGCCCGCCCUGCGGCACUGCCAGCACUUGGGACGCCAGACUCCCUUCAGGCGGCGGGCCCCAAGGGCACUGCGACAGCUCAGCACCCACCACAGAUCAGCAACAGGACAACCCGAGCGCGGAGACACAGACGGGAAGCGUGUGGGGUCCUGGGAUAGGCCCAACUCAAUGAUUUCCCCUCCCUGGGGCUAAGACACCACUGAUGUGAAGACGCAGGAGACAGGACAACCCCCCGUGAAGGGUCCUGUCCACCCACCACUGAGGCCUGGCCCGACUUUCUACAAGACCCUGCUGGGGGGGAAGUGCCCCUCGGAGUAAAGGAAAUACAGCCCC
rnacentral:lncRNA from 1 species